UGAUUGUUCUUAACCCUACUUAAUGAUUCUUCGAGCCCUCUCAUGACCAACAAUGGUAUCAUAGCCGACACUUGAAUAGAAGAUUGUUGAUAUAUCAAGUGUGAAUAAAGAAUCCUACAUUAGAUAGAAAAGUAAAUGUUGAUCACUAUAUAAUUGAGAGAAUCCAUAAAUUAAAUGCUUUAAAAUUUUAGAUCAAGAUAUGUUGUUCAUCUCAUUUGUAAAGUUCCUUAAAAUUUUAGGUGAAGAUGUGUAUUCUUAAAAAUAAAAUAAAAAUAAAAAAAUUGAUAUAUUAUUCCAUGUAUAUUGUAUAAAUAAUAGGAACCAUCCCAUUGUAUUACUUAGGAAGAAAGAAAAAACUCUACUUCCUCGUCUAUUCCUACUUUAGUAUCCUUCCUUUACUUCCUUAACAUUUGUCAUUCACCCUUUUAUUAACCAAAAAUCAAUCCUCAAUAUUCUCUCUAAAUCAUAAAAUGGGCAUUGAAAAGCUCAAAUCUUUUGCAAGCUUCCUUGAUAAAUCUAUGCCCUACAUUGCCAUGAUUCUUCUACAAUUUGGCUAUGCAGGCGUGAACAUUAUAACCAAGCUUUCUCUCAAUGGAGGCAUGAGUCACUAUGUUCUUGUUGUUUAUCGCCACGCUUUUGCAACUAUUGCUAUAGCUCCAUUUGCCAUUAUCUUUGAAAGGUUGGUAUUACAAAAGACAUUGAAAGUUUUUUUUUUUUUUUUUUAUUUCUUAAUUGAAAGCCUUUGACUCUUACAUGAAUAUAAUGUCUAUUAUGUAAAUUAUUAGAAAAAAGUUAAACUAUCAACAAAAAUCAAAGAAAAAAAAGUAAAGCGUCUUUAAUUUUUGUUGCUAAAUGUUAAAAAUCAAUCAAAAUAUCCUAAGAAAAUUAUUUUUAUUUAUUUGUCUCUAACAUUAGUAUAAAAAUAAUUUCAGCAUAUGCUUUGUUGUCAUAUUUGUUAUUAUAUAUCAUGUAAUGUAUUUUGAUACAUGGUUUCAUUUUUCCAGGAAGGCUCAACCAAAGGUUACAUUUCAAAUUUUCUUCCAAAUUUUUCUCCUAGCUGUGCUUGGGUUAGUUUUAUUUAUUUAUUUACUAAUUAUAUGUUUGCUUAGAUAUAACUUUUUUUUUACAAACACUUAGAUAUUUGUUGUUUUACAUUAACAAUCUAUCACUAUUUAUUAACACAUCAAAUAAAAAAUUAAAAAUAAAAAUUAUGCAAUUAUUUGAUGUAUUAGUAAGUUGUAAUUAAUUGUCAGUGUAAAAUAAUUAACUUUGCAACGACGAUAUAUAAUCUUAUAUCUCUAGAUAUUUUUUAUUUACAUCAAUUUGAAUAUUCUAAACAGGCCAGUGAUAGAUCAAAACUUCUACUAUGCUGGACUGAAAUUAACAUCCCCAACCUUCUCAUGUGCAAUGAGCAAUAUGCUUCCAGCCAUGACAUUUUUAAUGGCGGUUUUAUGCCGGUAAUUAAUAAUUAAUUAAGUUAAUUUAUAUAUUAAUUUUUUUUUUUCAAUUUUAUUUAUAAAUCUAUUGAUUAUAUUAUAAAGGAUGGAAAAGAUCAAUAUGAAGAAGUUAAUAUGCCAAGCAAAGUUGGUGGGAACUAUAUUAACUGUGGCUGGGGUAAUGUUGAUGAGCUUUUACAAAGGCCCAAUUGUGGAGUUAUUGUGGACUAAAGAUAUAUCUCAUAGUAAUUCCAAUGCAACAAACAACACAAGAUCCUCAAGCAAGAAUGAUUGGCUCUUAGGCUCAAUUUUUCUAACUAUUUCUACCAUUGCUUGGGCAUCCUUCUUUGUGUUACAAGUAAGACCUCAUGAUAAUUAAUAAAAAUAAAAAUUGGAUUAAAAUUAUCUUUAUUCUUUUUUUUUUUUUUUAUAAGCGAAUGUUAGUAGUUAAUUUAUAUGAUAAAUAGAGAGAGAAAUAUUAGUAGCAGAGAUUAGAUUGAGUUACAUGUAAUUUGAACCAUGAACUUAAUAUUAGACAACCCAUAUUUUAACUUUGAUAAAUUAAGUCUAAAAUAUAAAGUCAAAAAGUGAGAUAUAUGUAUGAUUUUGUUCAUAGGCUAAGUCAGUGAUUAUGCGAAUGUAGAGAAUUUGAUUCUUUUUUUUAGGUAUGAAUGUUAUUUUUAUUUUUUCAAAAAAUUUAGUGGCAAAAUUCACACACAUUAAAUACAGAGAAAAAAAGAAUUUUAGGUUAAAUUCAUGUCUCGACGUAUCAAAUAUUUAUGCAGUCUUUUACUAUUUAAGAUGUACUUAAGAACAAAACAUGUUAAUUUUAUUAUAUUAAUGUGGAUGUAACAUAAUAAUUAUUAUUUUAUUUUUUUAAUGUAUUGAGCAGGCUAAAGCUUUAGAAACAUACAAGAAUCAUCAACUAACACUCACAUCACUUAUAUGUUUCAUUGGCACGCUUCUAGCUUUUGCUACCACAAUGGUGAUGGAACACAAGACUUCUGUGUGGACAAUUGGAUGGGAUAUGAAUUU
rnacentral:lncRNA from 1 species